rnacentral:rRNA from 1 species
GUAGGGUGCGAGCGUUGUCCGGAAUUACUGGGCGUAAAGAGCUCGUAGGUGGUUUGUCGCGUCGUCUGUGAAAUUCCGGGGCUCAACUCCGGGCGUGCAGGCGAUACGGGCAAACUUGAGUACUGUAGGGGAGACUGGAAUUCCUGGUGUAGCGGUGAAAUGCGCAGAUAUCAGGAGGAACACCGGUGGCGAAGGCGGGUCUCUGGGCAGUAACUGACGCUGAGGAGCGAAAGCAUGGGGAGCGAACAGGAUUAGAUACCCUGGUAGUCCAUGCCGUAAACGGUGGGCGCUAGGUGUGGGUUUCCUUCCACGGGAUCCGUGCCGUAGCUAACGCAUUAAGCGCCCCGCCUGGGGAGU